UGGAUGAAAACUGGAGGAGGGGAGAUUGAGGUGAGACAUGAGGAGGAAAUUCUGGAGUGUGAGGGUGGGGAGACCCUGGCCCAGGUUGCCCAGGGAAGCUGUGGCUGCCCCAUCCCUGGCAGUGUUGAAGGGCAGGUUGGAUGGGGCUUGGAGCAGCCUGGUCUGGUGGGAGGUGUCCCUGCCCAUGCAGGGGGGUUGGAACUGGAUGGUCUUGAAGGUCACUUCCAACCCAAACCAGUCUGUGGGUCUAUGACCACAACAGAACAAGAUUUAGGUGUUCACUUAUUUGCCAUGUACCCCAAACAAGAUAUCUAUAUUACUGUAGGUAAACAUUCUAUAUGCUUUUGAGCUUAAUGGUCACUUUUCUCAGUUAUAUCUGCACAGUCAUAUUAGUUUCAAUUACUUCCAAAACCAGAGUCACAGCUGACAUCCCCAUAUAAGAGAUUUUUUUUCUUCACUGCACAGCCCUAGAGUGUUAAGCAGCGUUUUGGUCCUGGAUAAAAUCAUAUGCUGUGAGGACUAACAUGCUUCAAAGCAUGCGAAGUUCAGUGAGGUUGAGUUUAGGCAGUUCCUGUGUGCUACCUACACAGAGAGCAGCAGAAAGGGACCUUCCUGCUCCCUUCAGUUCUCUGGGUGUUGCAGCCCUUGCAGAGAGCAGCUCGGCAGGGCACGGCACAGGACACUGUGGCUUCUGUCCAGAUGCGUUGGCUCAGCACAAGCAUGUGCUUAGUAACCUUCCCCGUGUGAGUAAUCCCCUGGUUAUCCACAGAAUGACUGAACUCAUGCUCUGAUGGCUGAAGAUAAGAUUACUCACACACCCAGCCCCAGUAUUCUUCCACUGCUCUUGUCCCUCCCCACUUCCCAGGGCAGAACAACUCUCCCUGUCUCUGGCUCUGUUGCCAAAUCCUGCAUGCCUUGCCUUAAACAAGGGAUGAACCAUGCUAAAAAAGAAAACAUCAUGCAGUAGCCCUAACAAGGAAUGAAACUGGUAGUGUCUGCCUUUACAACCACCCCCUCACUCUCCCACCCCCCCGAGCUCCAAGCAAUGACAUUAUUUUGGGGUUCUUUCACACUGAUACUCCCUCUUUAGUUAUACAGGGUCCUGUCUUAAACUCCUUACUCUUGAGUGCUAGGGAAGAUACAGUGUAUUUCUAACAAGGUACUGAAGAAUAAUUAAAAUUAUUUUUCCUACUUCUUUUCCUGCUGGAUAACUGAUUUGGGGGCUAUCCUGCUAAGAAUAGUCAGUGCAUCUUCUGUGUUCCUUUGACUUGAAGGAUCCAGGAUGUGGUCAUCUAUAGUCAGGAUGCAUAAGGUAGAGAAAAAAAAAAUAGUAAAAACUGGAAUGCAUAAUAAUCCUGAGCAAUCCCUACAGGCUAAAACUUAACAAUGCUUCUAAAACCCAACGUAGCUUAAUGCUUUUUAACCCUGAAGGCCAGUUCCUCCUGUCACUGAGGUCAGCUGGUCUUUGGUCUUUGAUCCAAACGAGACCCGAAUUACCCUGAACUAAUGAUGUUACUUUUUCCCCUGGAAAGAAAAAGUUUCUUGAUCUAGAGGUAAACCUUGUGUGGUUUUAUGCAUAGAGGAUGCACAGAUUUGAUGCAUCUUAGAGGAUGCCUUGGGGUGUCCUUCGAUCUGAGGAAGCAUGUUGCUGUAAGAAAGGAACUAGCCUGUCUCUGUCCCUGGCUUUUCUGUUUGGUUUUUUCCAUAUGAAGAAAAACAUGUUUAGCACUAGUCACGUGUUAUAAAUGUAGCAUGGACAGGGUGAGUUGGUUUGUUCCUCUCCAAUAUUCAUAGAUUACCUAAAUCCUGUCGCAAGAGAUCACAGAGUUUGAGAACAAAUGCUUCUGUUCCUGUGGGGCACAUUUUCUUCUCAUAAAGAGGAUUCCUUUUCAUAGUUUAUCUGAGUUCUUAACUUAUUUUUUUUUGUAUGUUUUUCGUCUCUGUCUUAGUGCAAAUUUAUUGUGCUGAUCAAUGUCUCUGGAAUUAGAUAAUGGUUUUAUGAGAUACUGGAUUAGAAUUCUUAUCUGUCUUAAUUGUUGGUCACUGUUGCACAAUGACAAAUGUUUUUGCCCUAAAUUUUAUCUCCUAUUGGAUUAGACAGUCUUGCAGUUUGUUAAGGACAUACUUUCUGGGUUAAUGAACAAGAGCAAUUAUCACUAGUUUAAUGAAAACUAAGGAAAAGUAGUACAUAAAUGUGUUUCAGUCUGAAUCUGUAUUUUUAAACUAUGCAUUUUCUAAUUUUAAUAGCUCACUUCAAACUCUUUUUGCAAAUUGAUGUAGUUUAAACACUUAUGUAGGAAAAAAAAAAACAACAGCUAUGCAAACGA